GCACGGGUAGCAAUAUCUGGUGGCGACCGGCGCACGGGUGCGUAACACGUAUACAAUCUACCCUUAACAGGGGGAUAGCCCUCCGAAAGGAGGAUUAAUACCCCAUAAUAAAUUGAAUGGCAUCAUUUGAUUUUGAAAGUUCCGACGGUUAAGGAUGAGUAUGCGUCUGAUUAGCUAGUUGGUGAGGUAAAGGCUCACCAAGGCAACGAUCAGUAGGGGAUCUGAGAGGACUACCCCCCACACUGGUACUGAGACACGGACCAGACUCCUACGGGAGGCAGCAGUAAGGAAUAUUGGUCAAUGGAGGCAACUCUGAACCAGCCAUGCCGCGUGCAGGAAGACGGCCCUAUGGGUUGUAAACUGCUUUUGUACGGGAGAAAACCCUUUCACGUGUGAGAGGUUGAUAGUACCGUAAGAAUAAGCAUCGGCUAACUUCGUGCCAGCAGCCGCGGUAAGACGAAGGAUGCAAGCGUUAUCCGGAUUCAUUGGGUUUAAAGGGAGCGUAGGUGGACUUGUAAGUCAGUGGUGAAAUCUCUCAGCUUAACUGAGAAACUGCCAUUGAUACUGCAGGUCUUGAGUACAGAUGAUGUGGGCGGAAUAUGACAUGUAGUGGUGAAAUACUUAGAUAUGUCAUAGA
rnacentral:rRNA from 1 species